AUUGAACGCUGGCGGCAGGCCUAACACAUGCAAGUCGAGCGGAUGAAGGGAGCUUGCUCCUGGAUUCAGCGGCGGACGGGUGAGUAAUGCCUAGGAAUCUGCCUGGUAGUGGGGGAUAGCGUCCGGAAACGGGCGCUAAUACCGCAUACGUCCUGAGGGAGAAAGUGGGGGAUCUUCGGACCUCACGCUAUCAGAUGAGCCUAGGUCGGAUUAGCUAGUUGGUGGGGUAAAGGCCUACCAAGGCGACGAUCCGUAACUGGUCUGAGAGGAUGAUCAGUCACACUGGAACUGAGACACGGUCCAGACUCCUACGGGAGGCAGCAGUGGGGAAUAUUGGACAAUGGGCGAAAGCCUGAUCCAGCCAUGCCGCGUGUGUGAAGAAGGUCUUCGGAUUGUAAAGCACUUUAAGUUGGGGGGAAGGGCAGUAAGUUAAUACCUUGCUGUUUUGACGUUACCAACAGAAUAAGCACCGGCUAACUUCGUG
rnacentral:rRNA from 1 species